rnacentral:rRNA from 1 species
UACGAAGGGGGCUAGCGUUGCUCGGAAUCACUGGGCGUAAAGCGCACGUAGGCGGCUUUUUAAGUCAGGGGUGAAAUCCUGGAGUUCAACUCCAGAACUGCCUUUGAUACUGAGAAGCUUGAGUCCGGGAGAGGUGAGUGGAACUGCGAGUGUAGAGGUGAAAUUCGUAGAUAUCAGGAAGAACACCCGUGGCUAAGGCGGCUCUCUAGUACGGUACUGACGCUGAGACGCGAAAGCGUGGGGAGCGAACAGG